rnacentral:rRNA from 1 species
GUGGUAAUGCCGGAUGCUCCAGUUGAUCGCAUGGUCUUCUGGGAAAGCUUUCGCGGUAUGGGAUGGGGUCGCGUCCUAUCAGCUUGACGGCGGGGUAACGGCCCACCGUGGCUUCGACGGGUAGCCGGCCUGAGAGGGCGACCGGCCACAUUGGGACUGAGAUACGGCCCAGACUCCUACGGGAGGCAGCAGUGGGGAAUAUUGCACAAUGGGCGCAAGCCUGAUGCAGCGACGCCGCGUGAGGGAUGGAGGCCUUCGGGUUGUAAACCUCUUUUAUCGGGGAGCAAGCGAGAGUGAGUUUACCCGUUGAAUAAGCACCGGCUAACUACGUGCCAGCAGCCGCGGUAAUACGUAGGGUGCAAGCGUUAUCCGGAAUUAUUGGGCGUAAAGGGCUCGUAGGCGGUUCGUCGCGUCCGGUGUGAAAGUCCAUCGCUUAACGGUGGAUCCGCGCCGGGUACGGGCGGGCUUGAGUGCGGUAGGGGAGACUGGAAUUCCCGGUGUAACGGUGGAAUGUGUAGAUAUCGGGAAAGAA